rnacentral:rRNA from 1 species
GACAGAGGAUGCAAGCGUUAUCCGGAAUGAUUGGGCGUAAAGCGUCUGUAGGUGGCUUUUUAAGUCCGCCGUCAAAUCCCAGGGCUCAACCCUGGACAGGCGGUGGAAACUACCAAGCUGGAGUACGGUAGGGGCAGGAAGGGUGAAUUUCCGGUGGAGCGGUGAAAUGCGUAGAGAUCGGAAAGAACACCAACGGCGAAAGCACUCUGCUGGGCCGACACUGACACUGAGAGACGAAAGCUAGGGGAGCGAAUGGG